UGGGGAAUAUUGGACAAUGGGCGAAAGCCUGAUCCAGCCAUGCCGCGUGUGUGAAGAAGGCCUUAUGGUUGUAAAGCACUUUAAGCGAGGAGGAGGCUCUUUUGGUUAAUACCCAAGAUGAGUGAGCGUUACUCGCAGAAUAAGCACCGGCUAACUCUGUG
rnacentral:rRNA from 1 species